rnacentral:rRNA from 1 species
AGUCGGGGGGGGUAGACGCGAAACCGAGUGAUCUACCCUUGGCCAGGUUGAAGGUUGGGUAACACCAACUGGAGGACCGGAUGGGUAAGCGUUGAAAAGCUUUCCAAUGAGCUGAGGGUAGGGGUGAAAGGCUAAUCAAACUCGGAGAUAGCUCGUACUCCCCGAAAUGCAUUUAGGUGCAGCCUCUUUAUAGUAUAUCGUGAGGUAGAGCGACUGAUUGGAUGCGAGGGCUUCACCGCCUAUCAAGUCCAGAUAAACUCCGAAUGCGCGAUAUAUAUUUACAGGGAGUGAGGGCGCGGGUGCUAAGGUCCGUGUCCGAGAGGAGAAGAAUCCAGACCACCGGCUAAGGCCCCCAAAUGAUCGUUAAGUUGAACUAACGAGGUCGGAUCGCAGAGACAGCUAGGAUGUUGGCUUGGAAGCAGCCAUUCAUUUAAAGAGUGCGUAACAGCUCACUAGUCGAGCGGUCUGGCGUGGAUAAUAAUCGGGCAUAAACGAUCUGCCGAAGCCGUGGAUGUCGCAAGACAUGGUAGGGGAGCAUUCCAUGCCGCGUCGAAGAUGAGGGAUGACCCUUGUUGGAGCGCAUGGAAAAGCAAAUGUAGGUAUGAGUAACGAUAAGGGGGGCGAGAACCCCCCCCGCCGAAAGACCAAGGUUUCCUGAUCAACGCUAAUCGGAUCAGGGUGAGUCGGGACCUAAGGCAAAGCCGAACGGCGCCGCCGAUGGAAGAAUGGGUUAAUAUUCCCAUACUGCCUCAUGGAGUGACGUGGAGACGGAGAAGUGACAGUCCUGCCGGCUGACGGAAUAGCCGGUUGAAGGGUGUAGAUAUUGAUUCCCGUAGGCAAAUCCGCGGGGAGAGUCGAACCUGAGAGUAUACGGAGCGCUUGCGCAACGUAAUAUGGACGUAACCAUGCUCCCGAGAAAAUCCGCUAAACUUAUCCAUGCGGCACCCGUACCGUAAACGGACACACGUGGUCGGGUUGAGAAUACUGAGGCGCUCGAGUGAUUCACGGUUAAGGAACUAGGCAAAUUGACCCUGUAACUUCGGGAUAAAGGGUCCUCGUCGUAAGGCGAGGCGCAGAGAAUAGGUCCAGGCAACUGUUUAACAAAAACACAUGGCUGUGCUAAAUGGAAACAUGAUGUAUACAGCCUGACACCUGCCCGGUGCCGGAAGGUUAAGAGGAGAUGUCAUCCGCGAGGAGAAGCGUUGAAUUGAAGCCCCGGUAAACGGCGGCCGUAACUAUAACGGUCCUAAGGUAGCGAAAUUCCUUGUCGGGUAAGUUCCGACCUGCACGAAUGGUGUAAUGAUCUGGACACUGUCUCAACCGUGAGCUCGGUGAAAUUGUAGUAUCGGUGAAGAUGCCGAUUAC